rnacentral:rRNA from 1 species
AUUGAACGCUGGCGGCAUGCCUUACACAUGCAAGUCGAACGGUAACAGGUUAAGCUGACGAGUGGCGAACGGGUGAGUAAUGUAUCGGAACGUGCCCAGUCGUGGGGGAUAACUGCUCGAAAGAGCAGCUAAUACCACAUACGACCUGAGGGUGAAAGCGGGGGAUCGCAAGCCCUCGCGCGAUUGGAGCGGCCGAUAUCAGAUUAGGUAGUUGGUGAGGUAAAGGCUCACCAAGCCGACGAUCUGUAGCUGGUCUGAGAGGACGACCAGCCACACUGGGACUGAGACACGGCCCAGACUCCUACGGGAGGCAGCAGUGGGGAAUUUUGGACAAUGGGCGCAAGCCUGAUCCAGCCAUGCCGCGUGCGGGAAGAAGGCCUUCGGGUUGUAAACCGCUUUUGUCAGGGAAGAAAAGGUUCUGGCUAAUACCUGGGACUCAUGACGGUACCUGAAGAAUAAGCACCGGCUAACUACGUG